UGGAGAAGAAAGUAAACCAACAAAAAAAUUUCUUCUUUUUGUUACAUGGGCCAUACAAACAAAUGUUACAAGGCCCUAAUUACACCAAGGAAAAUGAAGUUCGCUCGAAGCCCGUUAAGAGAACACGGCGUUCGUGCUAGGGAAACAAAAAAACCGCGGGCGGGAAUUACAGAAAAAAUAAAAAGAGAAGGAGAGAAAAAAAAAACGGGGCCGGAAUCUCAAUUGAGGCGCCGCCGCCGAUUGUGUUGUGUUGUGUUAGGUUAGGAAUGAAUCGGAAAUUUGGGGGAGGGAGGCCGCCAAUGGGCACUCCAUCUCUGGCUUGGUCCUCCGUCGUCGUUGUGGCUUCUCUUCUUGCAGGUGCCUCCGUCGUCCACAAUCUCUACAAGCCUGAUCUAACGCUGCCUCCUGUGGACGCCGUUACUGGAACUAACAGCAAGCAACCACAGAGAGAAUGAAUGGAUCAGUUCUUCUUGGUUCUUCUGCUUUGCCAAUUGAAAUGGUUUUUGCUACAAAAAUUUGGGGAUUUGUACUAUCGUUCGUGGCCAAUGUAGUGAAGAACUUGAAUUAUUUCCUUUAGUUUUGUCAAUGUAUUUUAUUCUUUUAAUCUUAAUGCACAUUUUCUUCCAAUAA